rfam:Schistosoma rodhaini strain Burundi genome assembly, scaffold: SROB_scaffold0001676
AUCCAGUUGACGAGUCUCAAAUAGGACGAAACGCGCUUCCUGUAU